GACAAACGCUGGCGGCAUGCCUAACACAUGCAAGUCGAACGGACAGAACAGGGAAGCUUUUCGGAGUGGAACUGGAAAGUUAGUGGCGGAUGGGUGAGUAACGCGUGGACAACCUACCUUGUAAAGGGGAAUAACCUCGAGAAAUCGAAGCUAAUACCCCAUAAUAACCUUGCUUCGCAUGAAGUAAGGAGGAAAGGCGGCCUUAGCGCUGUCGAUACAAGAUGGGUCCGCGUCUGAUUAGCUAGUUGGUGAGGUAAAGGCUCACCAAGGCGACGAUCAGUAGCCGGCCUGAGAGGGUGAACGGCCACAUUGGGACUGAGACACGGCCCAAACUCCUACGGGAGGCAGCAGUGGGGAAUCUUCCGCAAUGGGCGAAAGCCUGACGGAGCAAUGCCGCGUGAGUGAAGAAGGCCUUCGGGUUGUAAAACUCUGUCCUUAUCGAAGAGAGAGUGUUGUAGUAACUGACAAUACUAGGACGGUAGAUGAGGAGGAAGCCCCGGCUAACUAUGUG
rnacentral:rRNA from 1 species